UUGAUUGUGAGGAGCCUGCAACCGAGGCUAGCAAUAUGUGGUAUGAUAUUGACAGCUCCCAAGUCAAAUUGAGAUCUAGAUGACUUUCAGAUUGCAACUCAGGAGGCUCCAACAGCAACUAAGUGCUUUGGAAUCAUUCGCACAAAGAUUAAGAGG